rnacentral:rRNA from 1 species
GUGAGGAAUUUUCCGCAAUGGGCGAAAGCCUGACGGAGCAAUGCCGCGUGAAGGAUGAAGGCCUAUGGGUUGUAAACUUCUUUUCUCAGAAAAGAAUUAUGACGGUAUCUGAGGAAUAAGCAUCGGCUAACUCUGUGCCAGCAGCCGCGGUAAGACAGAGGAUGCAAGCGUUAUCCGGAAUGAUUGGGCGUAAAGCGUCUGUAGGUUGUUUAAAAAGUAUUCUGUCAAAGAUUAGGGCUUAAACCUAGAUAGGCAGAAUAAACUUUUAAGCUAGAGUUUGGUAGAGGCAGAGGGAAUUCCCGGUGGAGCGGUGAAAAGCGUAGAUAUCGGGAGGAACACCAAAGGCGAAGGCACUCUGCUGGGCCAAUACUAACACUGAGAGACGAAAGCGAGGGGAGCAAAUGGGAUUAGAUACCCGUGUAGUCC